ensembl:snRNA U4 U4 spliceosomal RNA
AGCUUUGUGCACAGGCAGUAUCGUAGCCAAUGAGGUGUAUCUGAGGCAUGAUUACUGCUAAUUAAAAACUUUUCACAAUGCCCCACCAUGACAACUUGCAAUAUAGUUGGCUCUGGCAAUUUUUGACAGUCUCUAUGGAGA